AUGCCCCGAGGGUUACUUUGCUUGCCUAAAUGGCAAGCUCUAGAGUUCCAUGUCGACAUCAUAUCGUCGAUCAAACUGGAGUUGGUGUGUUGGAAUGUGCGCGGCUUGAACAGCCCGGCGAAGAAGAAGGCGUUGCGUGAAUUUGCGGACUCGGCGCACCCGGCUAUUUUUUGUAUCCAGGAGACUAAGCUAGCUUGUAUUGACACUUUUACGGUUAUGCAAUGCCUUGGCCCGUCGUAUGAUGGGUUUUAUGACUUACCGGCUUCGGAUGCGAGGGGUGCGAUCCUC
rnacentral:rRNA from 1 species